GACGAACGCUGGCGGCGUGCUUAACACAUGCAAGUCGAGCGGUAAGGCCCUUUCGGGGGUACACGAGCGGCGAACGGGUGAGUAACACGUGGGUGACCUGCCCUCAGCUCUGGGAUAAGCCUGGGAAACUGGGUCUAAUACUGGAUAUGACUCCACGGUGCAUGUCGUGGGGUGGAAAGCCUUGUGCGGCUGAGGAUGGGCCCGCGGCCUAUCAGCUUGUUGGUGGGGUGANGGCCUACCAAGGCGACGACGGGUAGCCGGCCUGAGAGGGCGACCGGCCACACUGGGACUGAGACACGGCCCAGACUCCUACGGGAGGCAGCAGUGGGGAAUCUUGCGCAAGUGGGCGAAAGCCUGACGCAGCGACGCCGCGUGAGGGAUGACGGCC
rnacentral:rRNA from 1 species